rnacentral:rRNA from 1 species
AUUGAACGCUGGCGGCAGGCUUAACACAUGCAAGUCGAGCGGAGAGAGGUAGCUUGCUACCGAUCUCAGCGGCGAACGGGUGAGGAAUGCUUGGGAAUCUGCCUGGUAGUGGGGGAUAACGUUUCGAAAGGAACGCUAAUACCGCAUACGUCCGACGGGAGAAAGGGGGGGAUCUUCGGACCUCUCGCUAUCAGAUGAGCCCAAGUCGGAUUAGCUAGUUGGUGAGGUAAAGGCCCACCAAGGCGACGAUCCGUAGCUGGUCGGAGAGGAUGCUCAGCCACACUGGAACUGAGACACGGUCCAGACUCCUACGGGAGGCAGCAGGGGGGAAUAUUGGACAAUGGGCGAAAGCCUGAUCCAGCCAUGCCGCGUGUGUGAAGAAGGCCUUCGGGUUGUAAAGCACUUUAAGCGAGGAGGAAUGGCUCUGGGUUAAUACCCUUGAGCAGUGACGUUACUCGCAGAAUAAGCACCGGCUAACUCUGUGCCAGCCGCCGCCGUAAGAC